rnacentral:tRNA from 1 species
GACCGCGUAGCUCAGUUGGAAGAGCAUUGGGCUAGUAUUCCAAAGGUCGUAGGUUCGAUUCCCACCCUUGUCC